UACGGAGGGUCCAAGCGUUGUCCGGAAUCACUGGGUGUAAAGGGUGCGUAGGCGGGCUUGUAAGUCAGAGGUGAAAGCCCACGGCUUAACCGUGGAAUUGCCUUUGAUACUGCAAGCCUUGAGUCCUGGAGAGGCUGUCGGAAUUCGUGGUGUAGCGGUGAAAUGCGUAGAUAUCACGAGGAACACCGGAUGCGUAGGCGGACAGCUGGACAGGUACUGACGCUGAGGCACGAAAGCGUGGGGAGCGAACAGG
rnacentral:rRNA from 1 species